GGGACACAACACAACCGGCAGUCCAGAGAAUCAUCAGUUCUCGUCGUCGCAUCGCCCACUCAACUCGCAUCCACCAUUCCGCCCGCACCCCCCGAAUUUCUCCGCCGUCCCAGCGCCGGCGCGACGCCGCAUGCCCCGGCCGAGCGAGUGCUGCUGCCGUCGCAUAUGCCCGUCGAGCGUCGCUUCCGCCUACACAUUCGCCCGCCGCUGCCCCCGACGCAUCUGCCUGGCUCCAAAAAUGCUCAUUUUUGGGGGUCCAAAUUGGCUGAUCUGGCGGCGGUGCUGGAUCCGGUAGCGGCGAAGGCGGCCAGCGGGGAGGAGCAGGUCCUCCAUGGCGGGCGGUGGCACGGAAGUGGGCGGUGAGGCGGCUCGGUGACCGGACGGCCCUCUUCCUCGUCGUUCCCUUCAAAAAGAUCUCACCCCCUCCCCAAAUCCUCCUAGAGAGUGCACUGACAGAUAGAUGGAGUAAUUUCGCCUUAAUCCGUGGUGCUUCCCUUUCUCGACUUAAUCUGUGGUGGUUCCAAAUCCUCCUAAGAGUAAUUGAUGCCCAACAUUCUCCGUCUCAUUUUCAUUGCUGCUUCUCUGGCCGCAGCGUUCUGCGUCUCCUCGAUGAGUAAUCAAUCCAUGUUCAGAGUUAAUUAGGAGUGCAGUAUUUUCGCUAGUUCCUCAUUGCUACAAUUACUCCUGAUUGUGACCCAGCUUCCUAGUUUCAGUCAUUAUUUCUGGAACUUUUCUGAAAUUCGAGUACUAUGAUGAUGCUUAUCUUCUUAAGAACAAAGGAACAAGUGUGGGAGGAUGAUAUCUCUGCUGCUUGCUGUACUUCAAUAUUCUAGACUGUUGUUUAAGUUCUUGGAGUAAAUUCAGUGUUUAAGCAUUUUAUUCAUGGCCACAACAAUAAUUAUGUGAGUGUACUGUAAUCCAAGAGAUUGUUCUUCAUUCUUCUUGUAGGUAAUAGAUUGUUACUGUUAUUGUUGAAGGCGUGGCUCUCUCGGUGCUGUAGCUUCUUCCUCGCCGUGCAGGGACGGCGGCGACGAGCUUCUACCUGGGCUACAACCACCUAGUUAAAGCAGCUUAUGGCUUUGGGAAUGUGCUUAUUCAGAUCACACAAUAAGGAAAAAAGAACACUACCAUUAAGGAAUGCUAGAGAAAUGGCAGUGAUAUUGAAGGAUCUGCUUAUUCGGAUAAGAAUUCCAAUUCCAAAACAAAAACCCCUUUCAAAAAAGGGGAGUAGGAUAAGGGCAAAUAAAAAGGCAGGGAGGAGUACACCUUGCUCCUGAUCCAGAAGAUUAAAGGGACUGAUAAUGACCAGGUUCUGCCGGACAAAGGAGCUCGGAGAGGCGCUGGAGGAGGUAGAGAAUUUGAUAAAAAAAUAGGGCAGCAGCAGCAUUUCAGUUUGGGAAGGUUAGACUGCUGGAGUUGAAGCAGUUGUGGAUUUCUUCAAGGCAAAAAUAGAGCAUUUCCAUAUAGUGAGAUGAAAAGGGUUAGCUUUCAGGUUUUGUUUCAGCAUGCUUUUGAUUCGUCACUCCUGAGAACUAAUUAUUACCUGCCUGCACUACUCCCUCUCCGUAUGUAGUCCAUAUUAGAAAUUCUAAAAAGAAUGCGUGGGACAAAUGUGUGCUCGGUGCGUUAGGUCCUGGUAGUCCUAAAAGCCCAGGGGUCCUUCAUCAUUUUAAUUUGAACACACUUGAUUUUCUGGGUCGAAA